rnacentral:rRNA from 1 species
UACAGAGGGUGCGAGCGUUAAUCGGAAUUACUGGGCGUAAAGCGUGCGCAGGCGGUUCGUUGUGUCGGCGGUGAAAGCCCCGGGCUUAACCUGGGAAUGGCCGUCGAAACUGGCGAACUGGAGUGUGGCAGAGGGGGGUGGAAUUCCGCGUGUAGCAGUGAAAUGCGUAGAGAUGCGGAGGAACACCGAUGGCGAAGGCAGCCCCCUGGGCUGACACUGACGCUCAGGCACAAAAGCGUGGGGAGCAACAGG